rnacentral:tRNA from 1 species
GAUCAUCUGGCUGAUCGUCGGGGCGGUCUCCUUCGUGGGUAUCUUCAACCUUGUCGGCGGCGGAGAGUUCAUGCGCUCCCUGUUCCUCGACCUCGGCCUGUCGGCCAUGGGCACAGUGCUCGUGAUGAUGC